CGGGGUGAGUAACACGUGGGUAACCUGCCUAAAAGAAGGGGAUAACACUUGGAAACAGGUGCUAAUACCGUAUAUCUCUAAGGAUCGCAUGAUCCUUGGAUGAAAGAUGGUUCUGCUAUCGCUUUUAGAUGGACCCGCGGCGUAUUAACUAGUUGGUGGGGUAACGGCCUACCAAGGUGAUGAUACGUAGCCGAACUGAGAGGUUGAUCGGCCACAUUGGGACUGAGACACGGCCCAA
rnacentral:rRNA from 1 species